rnacentral:rRNA from 1 species
AAACCGGGAGAGAGCUGGUUCUCCCCGAAAGCUAUGUAGGUAGCGCCUCGUGAACUCAUCUUCGGGGGUAGAGCACUGUUUCGGCUAGGGGGUCAUCCCGACUUACCAACCCGAUGCAAACUACGAAUACCGAAGAAUGUUAUCACGGGAGACACACGGCGGGUGCUAACGUCCGUCGUGAAGAGGGAAACAACCCAGACCGCCAGCUAAGGUCCCAAAGUCAUGGUUAAGUGGGAAACGAUGUGGGAAGGCACAGACAGCCAGGAUGUUGGCUUAGAAGCAGCCAUCAUUUAAAGAAAGCGUAAUAGCUCACUGGUCGAGUCGGCCUGCGCGGAAGAUGUAACGGGGCUAAACCAUGCACCGAAGCUGCGGCAGCGACACUAUGUGUUGUUGGGUAGGGGAGCGUUCUGUAAGCCUGCGAAGGUGUGCUGUGAGGCAUGCUGGAGGUAUCAGAAGUGCGAAUGCUGACAUAAGUAACGAUAAAGCGGGUGAAAAGCCCGCUCGCCGGAAGACCAAGGGUUCCUGUCCAACGUUAAUCGGGGCAGGGUGAGUCGACCCCUAAGGCGAGGCCGAAAGGCGUAGUCGAUGGGAAACAGGUUAAUAUUCCUGUACUUGGUGUUACUGCGAAGGGGGGACGGAGAAGGCUAUGUUAGCCGGGCGACGGUUGUCCCGGUUUAAGCAUGUAGGCUGAUUGUCCAGGCAAAUCCGGAUAAUCAAGGCUGAGGUGUGAUGACGAGGCACUACGGUGCUGAAGUAACAAAUGCCCUGCUUCCAGGAAAAGCCUCUAAGCAUCAGGUAACAUCAAAUCGUACCCCAAACCGACACAGGUGGUCAGGUAGAGAAUACCAAGGCGCUUGAGAGAACUCGGGUGAAGGAACUAGGCAAAAUGGUGCCGUAACUUCGGGAGAAGGCACGCUGGUGUGUAGGUGAAGUCCCUGCGGAUGGAGCUGAGACCAGUCGAAGAUACCAGCUGGCUGCAACUGUUUAUUAAAAACACAGCACUGUGCAAACACGAAAGUGGACGUAUACGGUGUGACGCCUGCCCGGUGCCGGAAGGUUAAUUGAUGGGGUUAUCCGUAAGGAGAAGCUCUUGAUCGAAGCCCCGGUAAACGGCGGCCGUAACUAUAACGGUCCUAAGGUAGCGAAAUUCCUUGUCGGGUAAGUUCCGACCUGCACGAAUGGCGUAAUGAUGGCCAGGCUGUCUCCACCCGAGACUCAGUGAAAUUGAACUCGCUGUGAAGAUGCAGUGUACCCGCGGCAAGACGGAAAGACCCCGUGAACCUUUACUAUAGCUUGACACUGAACAUUGAGCCUUGAUGUGUAGGAUAGGUGGGAGGCUUUGAAGCGUGGACGCCAGUCUGCGUGGAGCCAACCUUGAAAUACCACCCUUUAAUGUUUGAUGUUCUAACGUUGGCCCCUUACCGGGGUUGCGGACAGUGUCUGGUGGGUAGUUUGACUGGGGCGGUCUCCUCCCAAAGCGUAACGGAGGAGCACGAAGGUUAGCUAAUCCUGGUCGGACAUCAGGAGGUUAGUGCAAUGGCAUAAGCUAGCUUGACUGCGAGCGUGACGGCGCGAGCAGGUGCGAAAGCAGGUCAUAGUGAUCCGGUGGUUCUGAAUGGAAGGGCCAUCGCUCAACGGAUAAAAGGUACUCCGGGGAUAACAGGCUGAUACCGCCCAAGAGUUCAUAUCGACGGCGGUGUUUGGCACCUCGAUGUCGGCUCAUCACAUCCUGGGGCUGAAGUAGGUCCCAAGGGUAUGGCUGUUCGCCAUUUAAAGUGGUACGCGAGCUGGGUUUAGAACGUCGUGAGACAGUUCGGUCCCUAUCUGCCGUGGACGCUGGAGAAUUGAGGGGGGCUGCUCCUAGUACGAGAGGACCGGAGUGGACGCAUCACUGGUGUUCGGGUUGUCAUGCCAAUGGCACUGCCCGGUAGCUAAAUGCGGAAGAGAUAAGUGCUGAAAGCAUCUAAGCACGAAACUUGCCCCGAGAUGAGUUCUCCCUGAGACUUUAAGUCUCCUGAAGGAACGUUAAAGACGAUGACGUUGAUAGGCCGGGUGUGUAAGCGCAGCGAUGCGUUGAGCUAACCGGUACUAAUGAACCGUGAGGCUUAACCUUACAACGCCGAAG